UUUAUUAGAAGUUUCAGGAAAGAAUAUGGGUUGCUGUAUUUCUUUAAUAAAUUUGAAUCUUUUGCCAAUCUCUACUUUAAGAUUUUGAAGUAUAAAAUUUGAAAACAUUUAUUUACAAAUAAUAAACCAACAGUAUUGAUACUAUUAUGAUUUUUUUGAUAAAUGAUACAUAAAUUAAUGAGGUAAAUCAAAAUAGGUCUAUAAUUCAUCCUUACCAUAGAAAUGUUGCUGAGAAGCAACACCUUAGCUGAAUUGAGUAUAUAUUGCACAGUUAGAGAAAGGUGUUUAUGUAAGGAACUAUAAUAUAUAAUUUUUUAUUAUUGGAUAUAGCACACAAUUAUACAUGGGUUAUCACUGAGCCUGAGAUAGAAAUACUGAUAGCAACAAAUUCGCCAAAUUACUGUACAACCCGCUAAAGAGUAGAUAAAUAUAAGUUCAUCGAAAACGGGAGAACAAAUGAUGCAUUUAAAGUGUGCAUCAGGUUUUUUGUUAAGAUCUACAGAAAACAGGCUGGUUUGGAAUUCACCAUCUUUCUGUUUCAUGUUCAGCCAGAAUGCUGGGAUUGUGGGUGUAUACUACCACGCUUGGCAGAAUAUCUUUUUUAAUGGAUCCUAUUGUGGUGUCUGGAUUAAAACAAAAGUGAUGUUGAUGUGGUUUAAAUUGAGAAAGUUCUGGCACUUAGCCAUGAAGCAAAGCAGAACUUGGAACAGUCACAGGGAAAUGAGAAUUAGAUCACCACAUUGAAAAUAGAUUUAUAGGAUUCAAAAGACUGAUGUGUAUGUAUGCAUAUACAUACAUAUACACACAUGCAUACAUACAUGAGGGCAAGUAUGAGAGGACAUGCAUUUAACUUGUUGAUAGAAAGUCAUCUAACUUACUGUGUCAGGCAUUUAAGCAGAAAAGGCUGCCAGGUAGAACAUGCUCUCCUGUGUUUUUGAGGAGUGUGUGUGGGAAGAAGCUAGGUAGACAUUCUCAAUAACAAUGGGAAUGCAAGAGUGAGAUCUUGUCUACAAGAUUCAGCGUAAAAAUCAUUUAUAUGGAAAACAACAUUACAGAUGAAGAGAGCUUAAUCUUUAACUUUUGAAACUGACAAGGGCACAUGGUAACUGGCAAAGCUGUUGCCUCUGCUUCUUGGUGGUUUUGUGUAUAGGUAGAGCAGGAGUGCCUGUCAAGCCGAGAGAUGAGAUGGUUAUGAAACACAAGACUAAGGCAAAAUAAGACUGAAGGUAUCUUACCAGCUUACCAAAGUAGUUAAUGAUUAUCUUGAUUUAAAUUUUUGUAGUCCCCACUCUUAAACUCCUAUUUUAAAAGUAUCCUGAAACCAAAUCCCUGUAUUAAAAGGUAUGCCUUUUGGUAAUGGUUAGGUUGUGCCUUUGUGAAUGGACUUGCUUAAUAGAGACCCAAGACUUGUUUGCCUCCUGUCAUGUCUGUUAGAAGUUGCCACUUACGAAGUAGAUACAGAGAUUUUUUACUAGACACUGAAUCAAUCUCUUAGGCCCUGCAUUUUAACUUAUUACCAGCCUGCAGAAUUCCAAGCAGUAAGUGACUAUUGUUUAUAAAUUACCCACCCAAAGGUCUUGUUACAGUAGCUCCAGUAGAUUAAGACAGGCAACUUUGACAAAUGCUAAAUGUUGCCAUGUCUGUGUUUUAAUUACAUUGUUACUUUCCCUAUAUGUCAGAUGCAAAGCUUGCUUAUAAUUGCUCACAGCCUUUCUACUACUUAUUCCCUUUGCUAGUGAUUGGAUUGUUUUCUCAAACCAUUCAUGUGGUUAAUUUCUUUAUUAGCAGGUUGAGGCUGGUAGAAAGGAUCUUGGUUUGAAGAUAUUGACAUAAUCUUGCAGUAUGCCCCAAAAGGUACCAAUUGUUUAAGAGGAGAAAUUGGAGGUGAGAAAAACAGGUCACUUUAGAAAUAACAUGACCAAAUUAACUUUACUAGUUGUAGAAUAAAUGACGCUAUGCAUUCUGAAAAGUGUUAUGAAGAGAAUGUUGCAUCUUUGUGGUGACAUUUGUGCAUCUGGUCAUAAAGAUGCUAUCUGCAGAGCCAGGCUCUGAGGUGUUAUGUGGACCAUAUUUAUAAACCUUUAAGACAUAAAUAAGAAAGGAGUCUAGGUAGCAGAGUUCGAAGAAAUAUGAAAAUUAAGUGAAAUGUCUAUAUGGAGUCCAGUGC
rnacentral:lncRNA from 1 species